AAAUCUCAACCUCCUUGGUUUCUUCUGGAGAUCAAAGGAGGCUUGGACUUUGGAGGCCUUUGCUGGCAUCUCUCUCCUUUGAAAGGUGGCCAGCUCCUCUUGAAUGAAUUAGCGGGGUCCUCUUUGCCGAUCCUUGACAUGUGAUAAGAUGUUUCCGUGUCUCGGUUUCUGGCUCUGUUGCUUUUGGGACCUGCUUCCAACCGUCUCGACGUCGAGACAAUGUUCGAGCCUGUUGCCCUUCUUGGGAAACGCUCUCGACCCCACGAAC
rnacentral:misc_RNA from 1 species